AUUGAACGCUGGCGGCAGGCCUCACACAUGCAAGUCGAACGAGUGGCGGACGGGUGAGUAAUGUCUGGGAAACUGCCUGAUGGAGGGGGAUAACUACUGGAAACGGUAGCUAAUACAGAAUACCAUCGGAUGUGCCCAGAGGGGAUUAGCUAGUAGGUGGGGUAACGGCUCACCUAGGCGAAGAUCCCUAGCUGGUCUGAGAGGAUGACCAGCCACACUGGAACUGAGACACGGGCCAGACUCCUAGGGGAGGCAGCAGUGGUGAAUAUUGCACAAGGGGCGCAAGCCUGAUGCAGCCAUGCCGCGUGUAUGAAGAAGGCCUUCGUGUUGUAAAGUACUUUCAGCGGGGAGGCGUUACCCGCAGAAGAAGCACAGGCUAACUCCGUGCCAGCAGCCGCGGUAAUAC
rnacentral:rRNA from 1 species